UCUCAAAACCCUUUCCCAUGCUAGCUAGCUGGUCCCGGCCGGCCGGCCUGAUCUCGAUCUCUAGGUUGUUGUUUCUGCUGGCUCUCUCUCUUUUCAUCUUCCUUUCCUUUUGGUGCGUGCAGUGGCAUUGCAACCAUUACUGCGUGGUCACCACACAUUGCAUUGGUGACUAGUAGUAUAAAGCUAGGAGCUAUAGGCUUGCAGCUGUGUGUGUGGCCUCUCAAUGCAUGGUCGAUGGCAGAUGGCAUCAGCUGAUUCUGCUGGAAAGAAAAAAGAAAGCAUGCAGCUAUAGAUACAUAGCUUAGCCUUGGCGCCAUAGCCACUCUACAUCAAAGGCACGCAUAUGGAGUAGCUAGCUAGUGUAUGUCAGUGUAUGCAUGUGUGUGUGGAUGUAGUGGCUACACGUAUGUAC
rnacentral:lncRNA from 1 species